AUGCCCCCGCCGUUGCAGCCGCUCGCCGCGGCUCCCGCCUGCGCGCGCACGCUGGCCGACCUCCUAGUUGCGCUCUCAGCCGCCCGCGCGCUCCCCAAGGGCCAGCAGCUCCAUGGCCACCUUCUCAAGGGCGGCCAUCUCCCCGCCGUCGCCUCCUCGCACGCGCUGCUCGCCCACCACCUCCUCACCUUCUACGCCCGCUGCUCGCUCCCCGAGCUUUCCCUCCGCGCCUUCCUCGACCUCCCCGCUCCCCCCUCCCCCGCCGCAUGGUCCUCCCUCAUAUCCUCCUUCGCCCAGAACGGCCUCCCGGCGGCAGCCUUUGACGCCUUCCGCCGCAUGCUCGCGGCCGGGGUCGCCGCCACCGACCGCUCCAUCCCCCCCGCCGCCAAGGCCGUCGCAGCUGCCGCGGACUCCUCGCGCCCUCCGCUUGCCCCGCACGCCCUCCAUGGCCUUGCCUCCAAGACGCCGUUCGCGGGCGACGUGUUCGUGUGGUCGGCGGUUCUUGACAUGUAUGCCAAGUGCGGGAACCUUGCGGACGCCCGCCGGGUGUUCGACGAAAUGCCGGAGCGGAAUGUUGUCUCGUGGUCUGCCCUCAUUGGUGGCUACGCGGAUGCUGGGAUGCAUCCUGCAGCACUCUGCAUCUUCCGCUCGGCACUGGAGGAGGCUGUGCAGGUCAAUGACUUCACAGUUUCGUGCAUUGUUCGUGUAUGUGCUGCAGCCACACUCUUUGAGCUUGGGGCUCAGGUACAUGCCCGAUCUAUAAAGACAGCACUUGAUGCAUCGCCGUUUGUGGGCAGCUCGCUUGUUUCUCUGUACUCGAAGUGUGGCCUUGUGGAUUGUGCUUACCAGGUGUUCAGUGCAGCACCUGAGAGAAACCUUGGGAUUUGGAACGCAGUGCUCAUUGCAUCUGCACAGCAUGGCCAUACUUCCACAGCAUUUGAACGUUUCACAAAGAUGCAGAAUGCCGGGUUCCGUCCUAACUUCAUUACCUUCCUUUGUUUACUCACAGCAUGUAGCCACGCUGGUCUUGUCGAUGAGGGGAAGCGAUAUUUUUCCCUCAUGAAAGAAUAUAGAAUUGAACCGCAGGUUGAACAUUAUGCUGCAAUGGUUGACCUACUUGGUCGUGUAGGACGUAUAACUGAAGCACUGGACCUUAUUGAGUCAAUGCCCAUGGAACCACCUGACUCUGUUUGGGGUGCACUCCUAAUGGCAUGUCGCAUGUUCAAGGAUGCAGACACUGCGGCAAUUGCUGCAAAGAGACUGUUUGAGACAGGGUCUCGCAGCUCUGGUGCACACAUGCUCUUGUCAAGCACGUAUGCAGCUGCAGGAAGGCAUGUCGAUGCAGCACUUGCAAGGAAGGCAAUGCGUGAUGCAGGUAUACGGAAAGAGACUGGUCUUAGCUGGCUUGAGGCUGCAGGGGAGGUGCAUACCUUUGUUUCAAACUGCAGGAGACAUCCAAGAAGCAAUGAAAUUUAUAAUGUGCUGGAGAAAGUUGGUAAGAAAAUGGCGGCAGCUGGUUAUGUGGCAGACACUAGUGCAGUGGUUAAGGAUGUGGACAGAGAUGAGAAGUGCGCAUCACUGGGGUAUCACAGCGAAAGGCUAGCAAUAGGGUUAGGGCUCUUGAUUGUUCCGGAAGGUGUGCCAAUCCGAGUUAUGAAGAACUUAAGAGUGUGUGAUGAUUGUCACAAUGCAGUUAAGUAUCUCAGUAAGUGUACAGGAAGAGUUGUGGUUCUCAGGGAUAACCGUCGAUUCCACCGGUUUGAAGCUGGGUUGUGCUCUUGUGGGGAUUUCUGGUGA
rnacentral:rRNA from 1 species